GACCUGGUGGUGUAGUGGUCUAUAUCACGGUGCCCAUGGUUGGCAUGAGACGCGGGUUCGAAUCCCGGCUGAGUCA
rnacentral:tRNA from 1 species